UCUGUCGGAUUUGGUCCAAAUUUAGCCCAAAAAUAGAUGUGAAAUAACAGUGAAAUUCUGCGUGACUUCCACGUGCUGUAAUGUGCGCGCGCGCAGAACUGGAGCGGAGGACGUCACCAUGGAAACGAGGCGGCAGCCCAACCGUCAAGCAGCUGAUCGCUGACACUCAAUGUGGUUUCACUUUUUUUUUAGGUAAGUUUAGUCUAUUAAAUUACACAAAUAGUACAUUAAAGUGUUCCUGACACUUUAUUUCAUGUAAAUUAUACGCUUUCGUUUUAAUAUUUACUUUAUAGAAAUGGUUUAGCGUCGUCAGAAAAGGUCCGUUAGCAUCUCAAAGGUAAGGCUAACUACAAGAGGUAACGAUAGACAUGAGCUCUUAUUUAUUAAGUUUGGGCUUUUAAUGUCAUCUUGUGUGUAGAUGCUCUCUCUCUCUCUCUCUCUCUCUCCAUAUAUAUCAAUGGAUGAAUGGAAGUAACUUAACCGAAUUAAUUUAACCUUAAAAGUAUGCACUGUUUAAUCCUAAAAUGUUUAGUAACGUAACCGGAUAACGUUACAUCACUUACAUAGAGCGUGAAAAUGGACUGAAACCUUCAGGUUUUGAUCUUUCAUGGUAAACACAUAAAUACAAACUUGUUCUGUGAUUUCAGAAGUGCCAGAAAAAAACCUCUAUGACACGGGAGAAGUUCCUGAUUUUAACAUUUCUGAAGGGAGCUGAUGACAGAGAGGAUGAAAACACACACAUUUUGAUGUCCACGCUGUAGGAGCAUUACUAAAUAAUGCUUAUGUUCCUAGGUUCUUCCAUGCUGAUGGCUGUGCUCUAGUCAUAUCUCCUGUCGAAGAACAUUUUUAGACAUUAUGAACCAUGAAUAAGUUUAGCUCCAACCCCAGUUAAGCAGACCUGAGCAGCUGAUCAAGGAUCAGCAGAAACUCUGCAGAACGGUGGUCCUCCAGCCCAGGACUGGACACCAGUGUUGUAAGUCAUUCUGUCGCUUUAUAGUGCAUGUUCAGAACAUAUUGCAGGAGAUCUCAACAUUGUCUCUCAAGGUCCACUUACAUGCAGAGUUUUGCUCCAACCUGCAGUGCACCUGAACACAUUAAUUGAGGUCUAACUAUUAGUGUUGUCACAGUACCAAUUUCAGUACCAAAGCAAAACACAAAAACAUGCUAAUUAUUAUUUUUUUAAUUAUUAUUAUUAGCCGCACUUAUUCAGUAUCCCAGAAAUUUUGAAUGUUGUGAAAAGGUUCAAUAUUGAAGAGACCUGGUGCCACACUCUAAUCAGCUAAUUAACUCAAAACACCUGCAAAUCCUUUAAAUGGUCUCUCAGUCUCGUUCUGUAGGCUACACAAUCAUGGGGAAGACUGCUGACUUUACAGUUGUCCAAAAGACGACCAUUGACACUUUGCACAAGGAGGGGAAGACACAAAAGGUCAUUGCUAAAGAGGCUGGCUGUUCACAGAGCUCUGUGUCCAAGCACAUUAAUAGAGAGGCGAAGGGAAGGAAAAGAUGUGGUAGAAAAAAAGUGUAGAAGCAAUAGGGAUAACUGCACCCUGGAGAGGAUUGUGAAACAAAACCCAUUCAAAAAUGUGGGAGAGACUGACAAAGAGUGGACUGCAGCUGGAGUCAGUGCUUCAAGAACCACUACACACAGACGUAUGCAAGACAUGUGUUUCAGCUUCGCAUUCCUUGUGUCAAGCCACUCUUGAACAACAGACAGUGUCAGAAGCGUCUCGCUUCAGGAAGGACUGGACUGCUACUGAGUAGUGAUAUAUCAGACCCAAGAAUGCAGAAUAGCUGUAGGCCACUAUCAGAGCAACCUGGGCUCUCAUAACACCUGAGCAGUGUCACAGACUGAUCGACUCCAUGCAACGCCGCAUUGCUGCAGUAAUUCAGACAAAAGGAGCCACAACUAAGUAUUGAGUGCUGAACAUGCUCAUACUUUUCAUUUUCAUACUCUUCAGUUGGACAAGAUUUCUAAAAAUCCUUUCUUUGUAUUGGUCUUAAGUUAUACUCUAAUUUUCUAAGAUAAUGAAUUUGGGAUUUUCCUUAGUUGUCAGAUAUAAAUAAAUAUAUCAGUCUGUGUGUAAUGAAUGAAUAUAAUAUACAAGUUUCACUUUUUGAAUUGAAAUGAUGAUAUUCUAAUUAUAUGAUGAGCACCUGUAUACACAGAAUGACUAA